AGCGGCGGACGGGUGAGUAAUGCCUAGGAAUCUGCCUGGUAGUGGGGGAUAACGUUCGAACGGACGCUAAUACCGCAUACGUCGUACGGGAGAAAGCAGGGGACCUUCGGGCCUUGCUAUCAGAUGAGCCUAGGUCGGAUUAGCUAGUUGGUGAGGUAAUGGCUCACCAAGGCGGAUCCGUAACUGGUCUGAGAGGAUGAUCAGUCACACUGGAACUGAGACACGGUCCAGACCUACGGGAGGCAGCGGUGGGGAAUAUUGGACAAUGGGCGAAAGCCUGAUCCAGCCAUCGCGUGUGUGAAGAAGGUCUUCGGAUUGUAAAGCACUUUAAGUUGGGAGGAAGGGCAUACCUAAUACGUUAGUGUUUUGACGUUACCGACAGAAUAAGCACCGGCUAACUCUGUGCGCAGCCGCGGUAAUACAGAGGGUGCAAGCGUUAAUCGGAAUUACUGGGCGUAAAGCGCGUAGGUGGUUUGUUAAGUUGGAUGUGAAAUCCCCGGGCUCAACCUGGGAACUGCAUUCAACUGACUGACUAGAGUAUGGUAGAGGGUGGUGGAAUUUCCUGUGUAGCGGUGAAAUGUAGAUAUAGGAAGGAACACCAGUGGCGAAGGCGACCACCUGGACUAAUACUGACACUGGUGCGAAAGCGUGGGGAGCAAACAGGAUUAGAUACCCUGGUAGUCCACGCCGUAAACGGUCAACUAGCCGUUGGAAGCCUUGAGCUUUUAGUGGCGCAGCUAACGCAUAAGUGACC
rnacentral:rRNA from 1 species